rnacentral:rRNA from 1 species
CAGCCGCCGCAGUAAUACGGAGGAUCCAAGCGUUAUCCGGAAUCAUUGGGUUUAAAGGGUCCGUAGGCGGUCUUGUAAGUCAGUGGUGAAAGCCCAUCGCUCAACGGUGGAACGGCCAUUGAUACUGCAGGACUUGAAUUAUUGGGAAGUAACUAGAAUAUGUAGUGUAGCGGUGAAAUGCUUAGAGAUUACAUGGAAUACCAAUUGCGAAGGCAGGUUACUACCAAUUGAUUGACGCUGAUGGACGAAAGCGUGGGUAGCGAACAGGAUUAGAUACCCGCGUAGUCCCUAUCUCUUAUAC